rnacentral:precursor_RNA from 13 species
CAGUUUGGAGAGAGCCUCAUGAUUCUAGUUUAAGUCAUGAAAAGGUUUUUUUCAGUGUGCAUAAUCUGGAAAACCUUAUCAUGGCUAAUACCAUGACCAUGGUAUAUCCUCUGAGUCUA